CACAAGAGUGUGUGUCUGGUUGUUCAAACACAGGGGGCGACACAAGGGAUCCCACAAACCCUAGUUCUUCCAAAAAUCCACCAAAUUGAGAGCUCAAAUUCGUUCUAAAUCAAGUCUCAAACACAAAUUCGUGAUCUCCAUUGAAAGGGGAGUCAUAAGUUUGACUCUUGACGAGCUAGGUGAAGCUUGGAGGAGAUGAUCAAACGGGAUAAAGGCACGAGUAAGACUUGCUUGGAUGAAAGGAACGAAUAGAAAUUUGGAUAAUUGCGUCAUCAUAGAAUAUUGAACUAAUAAUAGCAAGGCAUAAACGGGUCUAUACGUUGACUCGAGCCAGGUACGCUUAUAUAUAGAUUUAUAGUUAAAAGUGCUUAACUUCCCUUCACGGGUCAAAAGGAGUAGAUAGGUAAAACGGGUUAAGAAUUCAUAAGAAACCCGUAAUUUGAACCUUGCACAUUAGUAAAUUGAUAUAACGUGAUAUGCAUGAUAUUUUGAAAAGCUUGGAGGAGAUGAUCAAACGGGAUAAAGGCACGAGUAAGACUUGCUUGGAUGAAAGGUACAUUUUGGAUGCCGGAAGACGAUCAAGCUCAACGAAGAACCGAACACGAUAAUGAUACAUGCUUCCGCACAUUGCCUCAUCGUAAAUUUUAAACGACGAUUUCGAUCACGCUAUGUUGAAUAACUUAUGAUUUGUAAAAGUUUUAAUAAACCCGUAUUUUUAUAGUAUGUGUAGUCUUAACUACACAUCUAAU
rnacentral:lncRNA from 1 species